rnacentral:rRNA from 1 species
GUGAAGCUGGAUUCGCUGUAAUCGCGCAUCAGCCAUGGCGCGGUGAAUACGUUCCCGGGCCUUGUACACACCGCCCGUCAAGCCAUGGGAGCCGGGGGUGCUUGAAGUGCGUCGCCGCAAGGCGCGCCCUAGAGCAAAACCGGUGACUGGGGCUAAGUCGUAACAAGGUAGC